UAUGUGAUCGUCUCUCGCAUAUCAAUAAGCGGAGGAAAAGAAACUAACAAGGAUUCCCCUAGUAACGGCGAGUGAAGCGGGAAGAGCUCAAAUUUGAAAUCUUAAAGGGUUUCCCUUUACGAAUUGUAAUUUAAAGAAGUGUUUUCUGUUGAGGUUUUGGUAAAAGUUCUUUGGAAUAGGACAUCAUAGAGGGUGAGAAUCCCGUAUUUGACCUUUACUUUCAACUUUGUGAUACACUUUCAAAGAGUCGGAUUGUUUGGGAAUGCAGUCCAAAAUGGGUGGUAAAUUUCAUCUAAAGCUAAAUAUUGGCGAGAGACCGAUAGCGAACAAGUACCGUGAGGGAAAGAUGAAAAGAACUUUGAAAAGAGAGUUAAACAUGUACGUGAAAUUGUCAAAAGGGAAGCGUUUGACACCAGUGUUGUUUUUCUGAAAAUCAAUUAAAGAACUGUUUAUGCUAAGCUGUUUAGACUUUAUCAGCUAUCUGUUUAGUUUUAAGCUUUUCUUUAAUGCACUUUUCAGUUAACAAGUCAACAUCAAUUUCUUUUGCUGUAAAAAAGCUUGAGGAAGGUGGCUUGAGAUUCGUCUUAAGUGUUUAUAGCCUCUUGCCUAUGCAGUCGGAGAGAUUGAGGUCUGCAGCGUAGAUCCUUCGGGGCUAAAUGCAUUUGUGCUAAGUUAUAGCAUUUUAUAGACAACUUGUUGACUAUGAUUUGUCUUGUAGCUUACUCGCUUAUGUUAUUUUACCUACGCUUAGGAUGUUGAUAUGCAUGACUGAUAU
rnacentral:rRNA from 1 species